CCUACGGGAGGCUGCAGUGAGGAAUAUUGGUCAAUGGGCGCGAGCCUGAACCAGCCAAGUCGCGUGAGGGAAGACGGUCCUAUGGAUUGUCAACCUCUUUUGUCGGGGAGCAAAAGACGCCACGCGUGGCGUUUCGAGAGUACCCGAUGAAAAAGCAUCGGCUAACUCCGUGCCAGCAGCCGCGGAAAUCCGGGGGAUGCGAGCGUUAUCCGGUUUUUUGGGGUUUAAAGGGUGCGCAGGCGGAAGAUAAAGUCAUCAGUAAGAUUGAGAGGCUCAACCUCUUCGAGCCGUUGAAACUGGGUUUCUGGAGUGAGUUAGAGGUAGGCGGAAUGCGUGGUGUAGCGGUGAAAUGCAUAGAUAUCACGCAGAACUCCGAUUGCGAAGGCAGCAUACCGGCGCUCAACUGACGCUCAUGCACGAAAGUGUGGGUAUCGAACAGGAUUAGAUACCCCUGUAGUC
rnacentral:rRNA from 1 species